ACCUUCCCUUCGCGGUAGGGGCGCUGUGCAUCGGCUAAGUGACGCGAAACCCUGGAAGUCGGGGCUUAGCUGAGAGUUUCUUCGGACGCGACCACUGGCCCAGCGUGCAGGGAGGAGCCGGACGGGCUAUGCUACGCGGGGGCGCAACCACCCCAACCUCGGUAACGGAGAGCUGAUUUAGUUAUUCUAAAGUGCAUCUGGAAGAAUAAACAAAUGAUAAUGAAAGAAAAGGAAGGAAGGAAGGAAGGGAGAAAGAAGGAAGAACGGGCUUCUAACAAGAAGAGUAAUAAGACUCUACUGAACCUCACACUUGCUGGAUUUUAUGAAGUAAACAGCCAUUCAGAGAGGUCAUAUGCCAAGGAACUGAGGAUACCUCUGGCUGGUAACCCACAAGCACAAGGAACAAAUCCUGCAACAGUGAUGUUAGCUUGGUAUCCUUUCCCAGAGGAGCCUCAGAUGAGCCACACCCAGGACUCAGUUACCCAAUGUACACUGGGACCUAGAUUACAGCUGAGGACCUCUAUACCCAUCAAGAUCAUAAUAAAAUUAGAGGUAUGUGAUUUACUUAACAAAUACUCGGGGAUUUUCUAGAGAUGUUUCGGUUAUUGAUUUCUAAUUUAAUAACAUGUGAUUAGAGAACAUACUUUGUAUGCCUUGAAUGCUUUUGAAUUUAUUGAGAUUUGUUUAUGGCCCACCCAGAAUAUGGUGUAUUUUGAUGCAUGUUCCAUGACCACUUGAAAAGAAUUAUA